CAAUUGUUCACCUGUGUCUUAUACAAAGAAAAGUAUGGUAAUUUUCUUUCAAAGUAUAACAUGUGAUAAAUUUCUAAUCAUUCUUCGGGAGUUUCUCCCAGAGGUUUAGGUCUAUGUUAUGCCCUAUAUCCAUUGCUCAGUGUGUCAUUGAAGUUUUGACUAACUCGUCUUUCAUUUCCCAUUCUAAUAAUAAGUUAUACAUUUUUGACAAUAAUUUAUCCUUGUUCCACAAUAAUUCUCUUUCAAACUGUGAGCUUCAAUCCGGAAACCCAUUUUUAAAAUCUAAUUUAAACAUAUCAUAUAUUUGAUGAUACUGUAAUCAAUUCUUACUUCUUCCAUUGCAUAGUUCUACUGCUGCCUUUGCCGUGAACCAAUCCAAGACUAUUGAGUCCACAACAUAUGAUAGAACAUACCCUCAGUCUCAUUGCAUCUCUAAAGAAAAUGCAGAGUCUUCUCAACCAGCCCAUAAGAGCGCUGCUGGGACUGUUGAAAGGCCUGCCUAAUCAAGUGGCAAGCCAGAGGGCUACUGGAAGCCCACAAGGAAGACUUGAAUGCCACAGCUCACUUUCACUCUCCAGCAACUGAUUUCCAGAGGAAUACUUCCUCUGAUGGCCCUCACAAUUAUAGCCAGUGACAACCUUAUCCUCCAAAAAUUUGCCUAAUCCUGUGUCAACAGCUUCUUUAUUUCUGUCCUGAAUCUCCCAUGACUCAAUUUCAAUGGAAGGUCUAAAAAUGUCUUGCUAUCUGGACAGAAUAAGUAAUAAUAAUGAAAGUUUCAGGCAGCAGAAGACUGGCUGGGUCUCUUAUUGAAAUCAAUGGAAAGUUUAAACAAUAUGCACUUUAAUGGGUUGCCUGUAAAAUGGGCAGAUUUCAGGUUUUCUGAAAUCUGAGACAGCCAGUUAUUUGCAAGGGUAAGAGAACGUCUAAAAUGUUCACCUUGCUUUGUGGAUGAAAAACACAAGAUUUACAGGCUGUAGAAGAGAAGCUGGAUCUCCUACUGAAUUCAGUGGGAGGAAACCCAGUGAAUGAAAUUGAAAUGAAUGGGGGGCAAUCAAACAAAUGGGAGUUUUUGAAACAAGAACUUUUCUUUUUCUUGGAUAUCUCUGACAUGGGAUGGGUAAGCUGCCUUCGUCUACUCUAUAGCGUGUUGACUGAUAAAACUUGCAAAGCUACAUGGAGCCAUUUAUUCUGCAGGCACCACUUCAAAAACACUAGAUUGUAUUUGAUCUUCUGUGAUGAACCAACUAUUGUGAAGCAACUGCUCGUGCAAAUAUUAAGAGCUGGAGUGUCUCUCAAAGCCCAGGGGUGAGGAGUCUUGGCCCUCCAGAUGUUGCUCUGAUCAGUCCUAGCAGGCAUGGCCAACAGCCAAGGAUGAUGGGAGUUCAGCAACAUCUGCUGUAGCCCUAGUAACCCUCAUAGAUUUGUCACCAAAAAAUUCACUCUGGUUUCCAAACACAAUAUGCACGCUGGUUCCCUUUGCCACUUUGCUUGGCAAACUCGCUUCCUGCACACACCAACUUUGGGGCACAGGGGUUCUUCUUUUUCAAGCGCCUAAACCUUGCGUCUCCUUCAUUUCUGCCUGUGAUGGUUAGAAUGCUGGACUUCAGAGUCCUGGAUUCAAAUCCUGAUCCAGCUACAAAGCUUACUAGAUGACCCUGGGCUGGUUCCUGUCUCUCAACCUAACCUUACUUUGCAGAGUUGUCCUGAUGCGACGCCGGGAAGAUCGUGCGUGCCACCCUGAGCUCUUUGCAGUGGGAUUAAAACGGUAUAUAGAGAAGACAGGUUUUCUGUCCCCACAGCUCUAUGGCCCAGGAGGAGGGGAAAUGGAACCCAGAUAUUCUCAUCCCCAUGAAAACAACGGAAGCUCGUUGACAGAAGGAGGGAACUUGCUAUGGCUGCCCUGGCGACUUUCUCCCCCUUUCACCAGCUCUUUCUGAAGCAUGCAUAGAAAAACUCCUCCAGGGUUUCCUUCUUACUUGUCACUCCAAGCUCCAGUCCACUCCACCUCCCCCCACGGGUUUCGCAUCCGUAUCAGGUUAACCCUCUGCCCUCGGUAGUUGAUCUGUGGGAGCAGAGAGAUAAUGAGAGAUGGCCGUUAAGAGAUUGUCACAGAGGAAGGAAAGAACAAGGCUGCACUUGACCUGACCACAUUAUUGACCCUGCCCUGUUUUCAAAUAGUCUGAAUAGCUUCCCAGUGGCAAUGAGUUCCAGAUGGCUUCUGUGGGAAAAUGACAAUGUCCCUGUGACUCUGGACAAAUAGAAAAAAUAGAGCAUGUGCUUCUCCAGUGCCUAUAUUAUAGGGACAUUCAUAUUAGCCUCAUCUCUCCACUACUCCAUAAGUACCCAGGGCGCACAGAACAAUUCUAUACCUCCCUGCUGCUUUCAAGAUCCCAACCCUGCUACAACAUACGACGUUGCCAGGUUCUGCAUAGCAGCAUUCAAAAUUCGUCGGAUGAUGACCUGUGCCACAAACUAGAUUUAAUGAACACCCAUAUCAGAGCGCUCUGUAAAUGGAUAGCCAUAGCCCUUUAUAUACUAACCUUUUAUGCUCUUCCACGUUCGUUUAAUGCUCCAGUCCUAACCCUUCUUUUAGCCUCUUUUAGAUUCUUGUAGGCUUUUAUAUAUACCUUCUGUUUUAAUAAUUUUAGCUUUCCAAAACAUUUUACAGAUUUUAAAUGAUUGUUCCCCACCCUACUUAUGCUGGUCUAUAACUGUAAUAAAGAUCUGAUUGAUUGAUUGA